rnacentral:rRNA from 1 species
AGCGAACGCUGGCGGCAGGCCUAACACAUGCAAGUCGAACGAAGUCUUCGGACUUAGUGGCGGACGGGUGAGUAACACGUGGGAACGUGCCUUUAGGUUCGGAAUAACUCAGGGAAACUUGUGCUAAUACCGAAUGUGCCCUUCGGGGGAAAGAUUUACCGCCUUUAGAGCGGCCCGCGUCUGAUUAGCUAGUUGGUGAGGUAAAGGCUCACCAAGGCGACGAUCAGUAGCUGGUCUGAGAGGAUGAUCAGCCACAUUGGGACUGAGACACGGCCCAAACUCCUACGGGAGGCAGCAGUGGGGAAUCUUGCGCAAUGGGCGAAAGCCUGACGCAGCCAUGCCGCGUGAAUGAUGAAGGUCUUAGGAUUGUAAAAUUCUUUCACCGGGGACGAUAAUGAUGGUACCCGGAGAAGAAGCCCCGGCUAACUUCGUGCCAGCAGCCGCGGUAAUAC